rnacentral:rRNA from 1 species
UACGUAGGUGUCGAGCGUUGUCCGGAUUUAUUGGGCGUAAAGAGCCCGCAGGCGGCUUGGCAAGUUUGAGGUGAAAUCUCCCGGCUUAACUGGGAGGGGGCCUCGAAAACUGCCAGGCUUGAGGCAUGGAGAGGGAUGCGGAAUUCCCGGUGUAGUGGUGAAAUGCGUAGAUAUCGGGAGGAACACCAGUGGCGAAGGCGACUAUCUGGGCUGCAACUGACGCUGAGGCGCGAAGGCUAGGGUAGCAAACAGG